UUUGCAGGUUGCCAGCUUCCUCGGCAAAACACUUGGCGCAGGCGCGGCACUGACGGCUGCUGUCUACCUAGUCCGCAAAGUCUGCCUAAUAAUGGCGUGGAAAUCAGGAGGAGCAAGCCACGCAGAACUCGUCAACAACCUGCGCAAAAAUGGCAUUAUUAAAUCCGACAAGGUCUACGAAGUCAUGCUGGCGACAGACCGGGCUCAUUUCUCUAGGUGUAACCCUUACAUGGACUCACCACAGUCAAUAGGCUUCCAAGCAACCAUCAGCGCCCCACAUAUGCACGCGUAUGCCCUGGAGCUUCUACACGACCAGCUGUACGAGGGUGCCAAAGCCCUGGACGUGGGCUCCGGCAGUGGAAUCCUGUCCGUUUGCUUUGCACGAAUGGUAGGCCCUGAAGGCAAAGUGGUAGGCAUUGACCACAUCAAAGAGCUGGUAGACGACGCGAUAAACAACGUGAAGAAAGAUGACCCCAGUUUGAUCACGUCGGGAAGAGUUAUGCUAAAAGUUGGAGACGGACGAAAUGGCUACUCAGACGAGGCGCCUUAUGACGCCAUCCAUGUUGGAGCAGCAGCAUCAACAGUCCCCCAAGCUCUCCUGGACCAGUUGAAGCCCGGCGGUCGUCUCAUUCUGCCCGUGGGCCCGGCAGGGGGGAACCAGAUGCUGCAGCAAUACGACAAGAUGGAGGAUGGCAGCACCAAAAUGAAGGCCCUGAUGGGGGUGAUAUAUGUGCCUUUAACGGACAAAGACAAGCAGUGGUCCAGGUGGAAGUGACUCCCUUCUCCCUGCACCCUCCUCCCGACCUCUCCUUCUCACAGCGGAAAAGGGAUGAACUCUGAACAGGAAGACAGUCCAUAAUCCACCUUUUUAAUAUCGAACCAGGACCGAAACACAGACUGGGGGGCGGGGUCAAGCAGUCCUUACAUUUUGUUCCAAAAGCCUAACAACCUCUGAUUUAAGAUCAUUCAUCAAGCGUGAUGGACUAGAAAGUAUUACUGAACCGGGGAGGAAACUGUUUGAAGCUGUACACUUUUUGAUUUACUGAAUAACAUUUUUUUUUUUUUUUUUUUGUGGUUUCCUUAUUUUGAAUGCAGUCAGCCAUAUACUUAUACAUAAUAACGUAUGUCUGCGGAAGAGAAGAGUGCUGGACUUUAAUGAUGAAAGCCUGAGCUUUUUUUGGUAAUUCACAUCGCUGCCGUGUGUGAGUCAUCUCACUUUCGAUUUCUCUGCUAAUAGAUGAUCUUAAGGCACCCCCCAGCCCAUUGCAGUAUUGGCAACACACGCUGAUGUAGCCCACAUAUCCCGUUUGAUGUGCAGCGCUCAAGACGAUGUUGUACUACACGCCUAACGAUGCAGUUAGCAUACAUACCGGCAAUGCUUUCCAUCCAAAGAGAACGGACGGACUAUUAACACCCACACGUGCAUGGCAACGUUGUGCUUUCAAGAAACAUCAAAUGCAGGCCCCGCUGGUGAUUUUCACAGUCACUGCUUUGCCAAAACAAGCUCUCAUGAAUGAAUGUCUUAUCUUGGGGGAAGAUUAAAAAAGAAAAAAAAAACAAUCUUUAAGCACAUUUAUUUUGAGUGAACUGAAGUGAUGAUUGUUAUAAAUUCCGGAGUGGCAUAUGACAAUAAAGAGUUGCUUAUG